GUGGGGAAUAUUGGACAAUGGGCGCAAGCCUGAUCCAGCCAUGUCGCGUGAAUGAUGAAGGCCUUAGGGUUGUAAAGUUCUUUCGCCAGGGACGAUAAUGACGGUACCUGGAUAAGAAGCCCCGGCUAACUUCGUGCCAGCAGCCGCGGUAAUACGAAGGGGGCUAGCGUUGUUCGGAUUUACUGGGCGUAAAGCGCACGUAGGCGGAUCUUUAAGUCAGGGGUGAAAUCCCGAGGCUCAACCUCGGAACUGCCCUUGAUACUGGAGAUCUUGAGUUCGGGAGAGGUGAGUGGAACUGCGAGUGUAGAGGUGAAAUUCGUAGAUAUUCGCAAGAACACCAGUGGCGAAGGCGGCUCACUGGCCCGAUACUGACGCUGAGGUGCGAAAGCGUGGGGAGCAAACAGGAUUAGAUACCCCGGUAGUCC
rnacentral:rRNA from 1 species